rnacentral:lncRNA from 1 species
AAAACAAAAGUCCUGCCAGCACUAACAUUGUCAAGCCGUGAUAUCGGCACUUAAAACAACCGUUUGUGAGAGAAAACCUGGUAUCUGGCUUCUGACGUUUCAGUACAAUCUUCUAUUGUGCAUCUGGAUGACAUCACUGUUGUGUCCUUUGCAGAGAUGUGCAUACAGGGCCCUAACUGUCCAGGAGCUGCUACGGACAGAGCCCGGUAAUCCCGACGACUUAGUGGAUCCUGUGCCUCCCAAGGGUGGCGCCCACGGUGACUGCACACUUGUCACAGACUGGCAGGCCAUUUGUCUGCUGCAGCCCACCAAAUCCCACAGAUCCUUUUGGAUCCUUUGCAGCAGGCUUUUCAUACCUUGAGUCUUACUUAAUGUUCACAUGAAAAAGCAACUGCUGUUUGCUGUGCUCAUAAAAGUCUUGUUAGAAAUUAACACCUUGUGUGAAUAAAAACAUCAAGUAAGUAUUUAUCUGAGGUCUUUUGGAAAAAAUAAUCCCGUGGUUAAGGUUUUACAAUAGGCACUGUAGUGACAGAGGAGUGCUCCCCAAAACUACGGG